rnacentral:snRNA from 1 species
CAAGUGCAGAGAUCAGCAUCAAAAGGGUGUCAGUCAGUGGACUGUGCCUAUGUACAACGAACAUGGUUCUUGCCUUUUACCAGAACCAUCCGGGUGCUGUCUCCCGCCAGGGUUAAGGUAGAAAGCUUCGUAUUUUUUGGAACUUUUUUUUCAACUUUCAG